GACGAACGCUGGCGGCGUCCCUACUACAUGCAAGUAGAACGCAGUUGCGAACGGGUGAGUAACGCGUAGGUAACUGCCCCAUAGCGGGGGAUAACUAUUGGAAACGAUAGCUAAUACCGCAUACUGGGCGAUAGACCUGCGUUGUAUUAGCUAGUUGGUGAGGUAAAGGCUCACCAAGGCGACGAUACAUACCCACCCUGAGAGGUUGAUCGGCCACCCUGGGACUGAGACACGGCCCAGACUCCUACGGGAGGCGGCAGUAGGGAAUCUUCGGCAAUGGACGGAAGUCUGACCAGGCCACGCCGCGUGAGUGAAGAAGGUUUUCGGAUCGUAAAGCUCUGUUGUUAGUGAAUCGGUAACUAACCUGAAAGGGACGUCUCACUACGUGCCAGCAGCCGCGGUAAUAC
rnacentral:rRNA from 1 species